rnacentral:misc_RNA from 1 species
GAUGAAGAACGCAGCGAAAUGCGAUAAGUAAUGUGAAUUGCAGAAUUCAGUGAAUCAUCGAAUCUUUGAACGCACAUUGCGCCCCUUGGUAUUCCGAGGGGCCUGCCUGUUCGAGCGUCAUUAUAACCCCUCAAGCUCAGCUUGGUGUUGGGGCCUGCCGCACGGGCAGCCCUUAAAAUCAGUGGCGGUGCCAUCUGGCUCUAAGCGUAGUAAUUCUUCUCGCUAUAGAGUCCCGGUGGAUGCUUGCCAUUAACCCCCAAUUUUCUAUGGUUGACCUCGGAUCAGGUAGGGAUACCCGCUGAACUUAAGCAUAUCAAUAAGCGGAGGA